rnacentral:rRNA from 1 species
GACGAACGCUGGCGGCGUGCUUAACACAUGCAAGUCGAACGGAAAGGCCCUGCUUUCGUGGGGUGCUCGAGUGGCGAACGGGUGAGUAACACGUGAGUAACCUGCCCUUGACUUUGGGAUAACUUCAGGAAACUGGGGCUAAUACCGGAUAGGAGCUCCUGCUGCAUGGUGGGGGUUGGAAAGUUUCGGCGGUUGGGGAUGGACUCGCGGCUUAUCAGCUUGUUGGUGGGGUAGUGGCUUACCAAGGCUUUGACGGGUAGCCGGCCUGAGAGGGUGACCGGCCACAUUGGGACUGAGAUACGGCCCAGACUCCUACGGGAGGCAGCAGUGGGGAAUAUUGCACAAUGGGCGGAAGCCUGAUGCAGCAACGCCGCGUGCGGGAUGACGGCCCUCGGGUUGUAAACCGCUUUCGCCUGUGACGAAGCGUGAGUGACGGUAAUGGGUAAAGAAGCACCGGCUAACUACGUG